AGUGAACGCUGGCGGUAGGCCUAACACAUGCAAGUCGAACGGCAGCACAGUAAGAGCUUGCUCUUACGGGUGGCGAGUGGCGGACGGGUGAGGAAUACAUCGGAAUCUACUUUUUCGUGGGGGAUAACGUAGGGAAACUUACGCUAAUACCGCAUACGACCUACGGGUGAAAGCAGGGGAUCUUCGGACCUUGCGCGAUUGAAUGAGCCGAUGUCGGAUUAGCUAGUUGGCGGGGUAAAGGCCCACCAAGGCGACGAUCCGUAGUUGGUCUGAGAGGAUGAUCAGCCACACUGGAACUGAGACACGGUCCAGACUCCUACGGGGGGCAGCAGUGGGGAAUAUUGGACAAUGGGCGCAAGCCUGAUCCAGCCAUACCGCGUGGGUGAAGAAGGCCUUCGGGUUGUAAAGCCCUUUUGUUGGGAAAGAAAAGCAGCAGGUUAAUACCCCGCUGUUCUGACGGUACCCAAAGAAUAAGCACCGGCUAACUUCGUG
rnacentral:rRNA from 1 species